UACGAAGGGGGCUAGCGUUGCUCGGAAUCACUGGGCGUAAAGGGUGCGUAGGCGGGUCUUUAAGUCAGGGGGGAAAUCCUGGAGCUCAACUCCAGAACUGCCUUUGAUACUGAAGAUCUUGAGUUCGGGAGAGGUGAGUGGAACUGCGAGUGUAGAGGUGAAAUUCGUAGAUAUUCGGAAGAACACCAGUGGCGAAGGCGACUUACUGGACACAUAUUGACGCUGAGGUGCGAAAGCGUGGGGAGCAAACAGG
rnacentral:rRNA from 1 species